AUUGAACGCUGGCGGCAUGCUUUACACAUGCAAGUCGAACGGCAGCACAGGGAGCUUGCUCCCGGGUGGCGAGUGGCGCACGGGUGAGUAAUACAUCGGAACGUGUCCUGUUGUGGGGGAUAACUGCUCGAAAGGGUGGCUAAUACCGCAUGAGACCUGAGGGUGAAAGCGGGGGAUCGCAAGACCUCGCGCAAUUGGAGCGGCCGAUGCCCGAUUAGCUAGUUGGUGAGGUAAAGGCUCACCAAGGCGACGAUCGGUAGCUGGUCUGAGAGGUUGAACGGCCACAUUGGGACUGAGACACGGCCCAG
rnacentral:rRNA from 1 species